UACGGAGGAUCCAAGCGUUAUCCGGAUUUAUUGGGUUUAAAGGGUGCGUAGGUGGCUUUUUAAGUCAGGGGUGAAAGACGGUAGCUUAACUAUCGCAGUGCCUUUGAUACUGAAGAGCUUGAAUGAACUAGAGGUAGGCGGAAUGUGACAAGUAGCGGUGAAAUGCAUAGAUAUGUCACAGAACACCAAUUGCGAAGGCAGCUUACUAUGGUUUUAUUGACACUGAGGCACGAAAAGCGUGGGGAUCAAACAGG
rnacentral:rRNA from 1 species